AAAAUUUCCCCUUUCUAGUGUCUGAAGGACAGAAGGGACUUCCGAUCCCCUCAAACAUGAGUGACAGCCAGAUUCAGAAGUCUCACGAUGGAAGGAUGGAACCAACUCCUGCAAACUGCCUUCUGACUGCCGUGUGUGUCCUGAUACAUGUGUCCACACACUUGCAUACAUAAACAGAUAAACCAGACAAAAAUUGAGAAUUAAGGGUGGGGCUCCUGGAGGAGAAAGGGCGUUAAUGUCUCCUGCAUGUUAUUUCCCUGCCUUUUCCAUAUGUACUCUGUUGUGAGUUCUCUACAAGCGGAGCCGUCUCAGCAAACUGAAGUGUCCAUCUGCUGAUUGUUACAGGCCGCUCCGCUUGUUGGAAAAUGCCGGUCUCAGGCUGGACCUGCAAGGAAGCCUGGGACAAGACCUGGAAAGAGGGAAACACGCCAUUCCUCUGCCAGAGUGAUCUGCGUGGUGCGGACGUCCCGGCGUGGGGCUCUCCCACCGUAUGGACAAAUACACAACAACUGGUCCUGGAGUCACACGCGUGCCUCUCCUCUCCACCAGCUCUCCUCUCGAUUGAAUCCAGUUAUUCCCCUGCCGCAGCUUCCCUGUCUCCAGGUCCAGCCCAUCUGCGCAGGUGUUUCGCUUCCCUUGUGAUUCUGACUUCGACUUUCUAUAAAGAGUGAAAAGACACAGUUUCGCGGAACUGCGGUGAGCAGUUUGGGUUUAUUUGUGCUUGUGUGCAUGCGGAGGGAUAGUCUGGGGGCAGGAGGAACGACCCGCUUCAGUGACGUCAUCGAACCUGAAAGCGAAGGGAAACCGUGCGGCGGCUGAGCGGCUUAGCGAGCGGCGCGUGGGAGAGCGCCCCCUGCUGGCUCCUCUUAUCCACACCCGAGGAAGCAGCCAAGGCAACGGGGAAGUGUCUCCUUAUUCUCUUCAGCAGAAUCAUGUUCUCUUGGUGUGAAUAUGGCUUGUACCAACUUCUGCUGAUCUGGCAAAUUAUAAGAGCAUUUACCAAUCAAUCCAGCAGUGUCUAGCACACAGGAAAAAUUUCCUGCCUCCUCAGCAGUCUGUGGUGGUACUAUUUUGAGGUAAUAUGGAACCUCUGAGGCAUGGAGUCUGAUGUACACAGGCUGCUGGAGCAAGCCCUAAGCGUUAUAACCCGGCCCCACUUCCAGCCCCUUCUCUGUUUUUAAGCUGCCAGGAUGUGAUGAAGCUGUGUCGUGAGCUCUCCUCCCCCAAUGCUUUCCCCACGUGCCUUUCUUACCAGGAUGGAUGAGACACUCUGAACUGUGAGCAAAUAUUCUGCUACCUCUGAUUGGACCAAGAGAGCUUUCAUCCAGUAACUAAUGGAAGCAGAU